rnacentral:piRNA from 1 species
UCCGAGAAGAUGAACUUCUUGGUCUGCCC